rnacentral:rRNA from 1 species
UACGAAGGGGGCUAGCGUUGCUCGGAAUCACUGGGCGUAAAGGGUGCGUAGGCGGGUCUUUAAGUCAGGGUGAAUCCUGGAGCUCAACUCCAGAACUGCCUUUGAUACUGAAGAUCUUGAGUUCGGGAGAGGUGAGUGGAACUGCGAGUGUAGAGGUGAAAUUCGUAGAUAUUCGCAAGAACACCAGUGGCGAAGGCGGCUCACUGGCCCGAUACUGACGCUGAGGCACGAAGCGUGGGAGCAAACAGG